ensembl:misc_RNA 7SK 7SK RNA
GGAUGUGAGGGAGAUCUGGCUGGGACAUGUCACCCCAUUGAUGGCCAAGGUUGAUUUGGCUGAUCUGGCUGGUGAGGCGGGUGUCCCCUUCCUCCCUCGCUGUUCCAUGUGCGUCCCUCCCGAAGCUGCUUGGUCGAAGAGGACGACCAUCCCUGAUAGAAGAGGACGGGUCUUCGGUCAAGGGUAUAGGAGUAGCUGCGCUCCCCUGCCAGAACCUCCGAACAAGCGCUCAAGAAAUAGGAGAGAGGUACUCCCCCAACAGAACAGAGUUCAGCCCUGACAGCACAAACAGCCAGAGCUGCUUUGUGAG